rnacentral:rRNA from 1 species
GACAGAGGUGCCGAGCGUUAGGCGGAAUCACUGGGCUUAAAGCGUGUGUAGGCGGGCCGUUAAGUGUCUUGUGAAAUCCCCCGGCUCAACCGGGGAAUUGCUGGGCAUACUGGCGGUCUUGAGCAGUUCAGGGGCAGAUGGAACGAGUGGUGGAGCGGUGAAAUGCGUAGAUAUCACUUGGAACGCCAACGGUGAAAACAGUCUGCUGGGAACUUGCUGACGCUGAGACACGAAAGCCAGGGGAGCGAACGGG